rnacentral:rRNA from 1 species
AUUGAACGCUGGCGGCAGGCCUAACACAUGCAAGUCGGGCGAGUGGCGGACGGGUGAGUAAUGUCUGGGGAACUGCCUGAUGGAGGGGGAUAACUACUGGAAACGGUAGCUAAUACCGCAUACCAUCAGAUGAACCCAGAUGGGAUGAGCUGGUAGGUGAGGUAACGGCUUACCUAGGCGACGAUCCCUAGCUGGUCUGAGAGGAUGAUCAGCCACACUGGGACUGAGACACGGCCCAGCUUCCUACGGGAGGCAGCAGUGGGGAAUAUUGCACAAUGGGCGCAAGCCUGAUGCAGCCAUGCCGCGUGUAUGAAGAAGGCCUGCGGGUUGUAAAGUACUUUCAGUCGGGAGGCGUUACCGACAGAAGAAGCACCGGCUAACUCCGUGCCAGCAGCCGCGGUAAUAC